GGCGAGGAACGUCAGUGCCAAUUGUUACCUUGCAUAGGAUGACUAAUUGCUAUGUUUUGUAAAUUUACAAAAUCCCCGCUGUGACGGACUCAUAAUCCCUUGGUCGGCGGUUCGAUUCCGCCUCUCGCCACCA
rnacentral:tRNA from 1 species